rnacentral:lncRNA from 1 species
CCUCCCUGAUACAGCAUAUGUGAAUCUGCACACUUUCUUGUCAGGUCAGAAGCCUUUCAAAUGUGAAAUUUGUUCUUAUGCCUGCAUUGAUGCAAGCUCUGCGGUGACGCUUCUGAACACACGCCAGUGAGAGACCCUACAAAUGCCAGCUCUGUUCGUAUAGUUGGUUUUCCCAUGGCAAUCAAUGCCAGCAGCACCAAAGGCCGCCUGAGGGCUUUUCAAAGAAAGAGGUUGUGUCUGAAAACAGGAGUACAAGUAGCAAACUAAGGAAAAGCUACUGCAACAGGUCAUUAUGUGAGUCAUGCGUUG